GACGAACGCUGGCGGCGUGCUUAACACAUGCAAGUCGAACGGAAAGGCCCAGCUUGCUGGGUGCUCGAGUGGCGAACGGGUGAGUAACACGUGGGUGAUCUGCCUCUAACUUCGGGAUAAGCUUGGGAAACUGGGUCUAAUACCGGAUAGGACAAUCGUUUAGUGUCGGUUGUGGAAAGUUUUUUCGGUUAGGGAUGAGCCCGCGGCCUAUCUGCUUGUUGGUGGGGUAAUGGCCUACCAAGGCGUCGACGGGUAGCCGGCCUGAGAGGGUGGACGGCCACAUUGGGACUGAGAUACGGCCCAGACUCCUACGGGAGGCAGCAGUGGGGAAUAUUGCACAAUGGGCGCAAGCCUGAUGCAGCGACGCCGCGUGGGGGAUGACGGCCUUCGGGUUGUAAACCUCUUUCGACAGGGACGAAGCUUUGGUGACGGUACCUGUAUAAGAAGCACCGGCUAACUACGUG
rnacentral:rRNA from 1 species